rnacentral:rRNA from 1 species
CGGACGGGUGAGUAAUGUCUGGGAAACUGCCUGAUGGAGGGGGAUAACUACUGGAAACGGUAGCUAAUACCGCAUAACGUCGCAAGACCAAAGAGGGGGACCUUCGGGCCCCUUGCCAUCGGAUGUGCCCAGAUGGGAUUAGCUAGUAGGUGGGGUAACGGCUCACCUAGGCGACGAUCCCUAGCUGGUCUGAGAGGAUGACCAGCCACACUGGAACUGAGACACGGUCCAG